AUGGCGUCCCCCUCCGACGCCCACUCCGCUACCGGCGGCAGUGGCGCCGCCGCGGCUGCACGAUCGGAUCUAGGUGAUUUUCUGGAACAAUUGGAUCUGAACGACAAUGAUUUUGCUGAUGUGGAGAUCGAUGUGGAUGACCCUGAGAUCCAAGAAAGUGUCCGCUGGCUGGCCCUAGCUAGGGUUCAGACUAGCAGGAACUUCAGCCCGUCAGCUUUCUAUAAGGACAUGAGGGCAGCAUGGAACCCCGCCCAGGAAGUAAGAUUCCGGCCAGUUGGCCCGAAUCGAUUCGUUGUCCAAGCAUCUUGUUUUGGGGAUUGGGAGCGCAUGAUGAAGCAAGGGCCCUGGCUCUUCCGUAACAUGGCGGUGCUCUUGUGCCCGUAUGAUGGCUUUAGCAAGGCGGAGGAGGUAGAAUUCUUUCAUAUCCCCAUCUGGUUGCAGAUUCACAAGCUACCGGAUCCUUACUGCAAACAGAACAUCAUGGAGAAGUUGCUGAAAGAUGCUGGAGAAAUUAUGGAGAUGCGUUUAAACGGAAACACACGUGGUGACGAUGUUAGGGUUAGGCUGCGGCAUGAUAUCCGUAAACCCCUCACAAAGUUUGUAAGUGUCGUUCGUGCAAAGGAGCGCCAGGUCUACCUGGUUCGAUAUGAGAAGCUGGCUAGGUUCUGUAAGUUUUGCGAACUGAUUGGUCAUGAUCACAAAGAGUGUGGCCUGGGCAUCCAUGAGGAGAAAGACCUCAAGUUUGGAGACUGGAUCUAUGCAGAUGCUCCCAAUAAGCCUAGACCAGAAGAUCGGUCUACUAAAGCAACAGGUUACGAGCCUAAGAUGGCUGAUGAUAAGGUGACAGGCAAACCAGAAUCGCAAUAUGCACCAUAUGAUGCCGAAGUGAUGGACACGGCAACGAGCCCGAUUAAUAAAACUAGCAACAGAACUGAUGGAGUUCUUGUUCCAAAGAGGAGGCUGAACUUGGAGGAGGCCGGGAAGCCACUGGGGGGUGUUCCUGGCGCCCCAAAGACGGUGUUGGCCAUUACUGACGGUAAGGAAAUUGAGCCGGUGAGGGAGGCCUCACCUACAGGAAGUAACUCAAGCAGCAAGAAGUUGAAACUAAACCCGGACAGCGAUAACAAUGAGAUAUCGGCGGCCUCCCUCGAGGAGGACCGCCGGACGCAAUGA
rnacentral:rRNA from 1 species